AUUGAACGCUGGCGGCAGGCCUAACACAUGCAAGUCGAACGAGUGGCGGACGGGUGAGUAAUGUCUGGGAAACUGCCUGAUGGAGGGGGAUAUCUACUGGAAACGGUAGCUAAUCCCGCCUAACGUCAUAUGUUCCAAGAUGGGCUUAGCUCGGUGGGGGGUUAACGGCUCACCAAGGCGACGAUCCCUAUCUGGUCGGAGAGGAUGACCAGCCACACUGGAACUGAGACACGGUCCAGACUCCUACGGGAGGAAGCAGUGGGGAAGAUUGCACAAUGGGCGCAAGCCUGAUGCAGCCAUGCCGCGUGUAUGAAGAAGGCCUUCGGGUUGUAAAGUACUUUCAGCGGGGAGGCGUUACCCGCAGAAGAAGCACCGGCUAACUCCGUGCCAGCCGCCGCGGUAAUUC
rnacentral:rRNA from 1 species